UACAGAGGUCUCAAGCGUUGUUCGGAUUCAUUGGGCGUAAAGGGUGCGUAGGCGGCGGGGCAAGUCUGAUGUGAAAUCCCGGGGCUCAACCCCGGAACUGCAUUGGAUACUGCUCUGCUUGAGCACUGGAGAGGAGACUGGAAUUUACGGUGUAGCAGUGAAAUGCGUAGAUAUCGUAAGGAAGACCAGUGGCGAAGGCGAGUCUCUGGGCCGAUACUGACGCUGAGGAGCGAAAGCGUGGGGAGCGAACAGG
rnacentral:rRNA from 1 species